rnacentral:rRNA from 1 species
UGAGUAGAGUGGCGCACGGGUGAGUAAGGCAUGGGAACGUGCCCUUUGGAUGGGGAUAACCACGGGAAACUGUGGCUAAUACCGAAUAGUCUCGAGAGAGUAAAGAUGGCCUCUGUUUACAAGCUAUCACCAGAGGAUCGGCCCAUGUCCCAUUAGCUAGUUGGUAGGGUAAAGGCCUACCAAGGCAACGAUGGGUAGCUGGUCUGAGAGGACGAUCAGCCACACUGGAACUGAGACACGGUCCAGACUCC